rnacentral:rRNA from 42 species
AAGGAACGUUGAAGACGACGACGUUGAUAGGCCGGGUGUGUAAGCGCAGCGAUGCGUUGAGCUAACCGGUACUAAUGAACCGUGAGGCUUAACCUUACAACGCCGAAG